rnacentral:lncRNA from 1 species
UUAUAAGAUAUCCAAAGAUUAUCUACUAAACACCUUUGGGGUCUAUCUAAAAUGUAGUCUGGUCUUACUCUAAAUGAUAUGUUGCUCUCAGGGUAAGCAAUUAAGUUAAAUGGUCCAAAGUGAAUUCUUUCCAUUGUUUCUAAAGAUUCUAGUGGUCUAAAAUUUAAAUUACCUAACAUUGUCUGUUAAUAUGAAUCUGAAGACGAAGCUACGCCCUUGCCUUUAUCUGCAGGAGGUUG